rfam:Megasphaera micronuciformis F0359 genomic scaffold Scfld8, whole genome shotgun sequence.
UUCAGUGGUGAUGGCUGUAGGGGUCCACCUGUUCCCAUACCGAACACAGCAGUUAAGCCUACAAACGCCGAAAGUACUUAGGGGGAGGCCCCUUGGGAGGAUAGGAAGCCGCUGAUU